UACGGAGGGGGCGAGCGUUAUUCGGAAUUAUUGGGCGUAAAGGGCGCGUAGGCGGCCCGGUAAGUCAAAGGUGAAAUCCCUCGGCUCAACUGAGGAACUGCCUUUGAAACUGUCGGGCUUGAGGCCGGGAGAGGGUAGUGGAAUUCCCAGUGUAGCGGUGAAAUGCGUAGAUAUCAGGAGGAACACCAAUGGCGAAGGCAGCUCGCUGGAACGGUACUGACGCUGAGGCGCGAAAGCGUGGGGAGCGAACAGG
rnacentral:rRNA from 1 species